rnacentral:rRNA from 1 species
AUUGAACGCUGGCGGCAUGCCUUACACAUGCAAGUCGAACGGUAACGCGGGGCAACCUGGCGACGAGUGGCGAACGGGUGAGUAAUGUAUCGGAACGUGCCCAGUUGUGGGGGAUAACUGCUCGAAAGAGCAGCUAAUACCGCAUACGACCUGAGGGUGAAAGCGGGGGAUCGCAAGACCUCGCGCAAUUGGAGCGGCCGAUAUCAGAUUAGGUAGUUGGUGGGGUAAAGGCUCACCAAGCCAAAGAUCUGUAGCUGGUCUGAGAGGACGACCAGCCACACUGGGACGGAGACACGGCCCAGACUCCUACGGGAGGCAGCAGUGGGGAAUUUUGGACAAUGGACGCAAGUCUGAUCCAGCCAUGCCGCGUGCGGGAAGAAGGCCUUCGGGUUGUAAACCGCUUUUGUCAGGGAAGAAACGCUCUGGGUUAAUACCUCGGGGUAAUGACGGUACCUGAAGAAUAAGCACCGGCUAACUACGUGCCAGCCGCCGCGGUAAUAC